UACGUAGGUGACAAGCGUUGUCCGGAUUUACUGGGCGUAAAGAGCGCGCAGGCGGUCGUUCAAGUCGAGUGUGAAAGCCCCCGGCUCAACUGGGGAGGGUCAUUCGAUACUGAUCGACUCGAAGGCAGGAGAGGGAAGUGGAAUUCCCGGUGUAGUGGUGAAAUGCGUAGAUAUCUGGAGGAACACCGGUGGCGAAGGCGGCUUCCUGGCCUAUCACUGACGCUGAGGCGCGAAAGCGUGGGGAGCGAACGGGG
rnacentral:rRNA from 1 species